GCAAGAGGCAGGGCAUUUGUUCAGAAUUUUGCACUGAAGGGACAAGGACUCAAAUGAAGUUGGGUUUCUUUCUCUCUCUCAUUUUGUCUUUCUUUGUUUCUUUCUUGUAUUGAUCAUCUAAAUACUUCGAUAUUUAAAAACAUUUUUAAAAUAUUUGCCAAUAUUUUCUUAGUAGUAAUAUUGAUAAUAUGAAUGAUUUCUGGAGUUGUUUUCAGUUUUCUUGUUCCUUGCUAUAUGAAAAGGUUGUCCUGUGUGCUACAAUUGAUUCAUAUAAUUUACCAUUUUAAUUCAUGAGGAUGCAAAGAGAACGUACAAGUAUAAGAGUAGCCAGAUGGUGGCAACCUGGUGUGACUUGAACAUGAUAAAUAGUAACUGUGUAGAGCCUUCCCACCAAUAUUCCAUUACAUGUGGCCAUGCGACAGAUGGCAGCAGAGGGGCAGUCUGAUAAGACAGUAUCUGACAUCCAC
rnacentral:lncRNA from 1 species